rnacentral:misc_RNA from 1 species
GGAAAAUGAUGUUUUGUUGUGUUAGUUAAUAGGUUUGUGUUAUUUUGUUAUGGUAGUUUUAGAAAAUUAAUAUAUAUUUUAUUAUUUUGAAGUAAUUGGUUUGAUAUUUUGGUGAAAUGUUUUAUUGAAUAUUUAAGUGUUAAUUUAGAGAUAAUGAAGUGAAAAGUUGGAGGUUUUUUUGAAGGAUGUAUUGGUUAAAAUAGGAUAUUGUUUUUUUUU